GUGUUCGUUAUCUAUUGGAUAUGACAAAUGUCUUUUAAACAUUUAGUAUAGAUUCAAAUCCUAUUGGACGCA
rfam:Citrus clementina cultivar Clemenules unplaced genomic scaffold scaffold_4, whole genome shotgun sequence.